CUUCUCUACUCUCUCUCGCUCACUCUCUUCUCGACGGCGCGCACCUCCAUCGUUAGGGUUCCUCUUCAUCGCUCAUACCUCCAUUGUUAGGGUUCCUCUCCACCGUGCUUCCAUCAUCAAACCACACCUUCCUUCUGCUCUGCUUCGUUUUCACCUCACCGUGCUUCAAUCAAUCAAACCACACCUUCCUUCUGCUGCUUCGUCUUCACCAUCGCUUCCAUCACUCAAGCUCGUGUGGGUUCUGCUUCUUCUUCACCGAGCCCGUCCGCUCCAGCGCGACUGCAUCCCACGGCGCGCCGCACCUUCCGCUGUCAUUAUCAAGUACGGGGACACUUCCCUUUGGAAGCAGAGGCAUAAUGACCAUGGGAUUGUCUUUCAUAUAAGGUGCUGGAUAUUCAUUAAUUCACUGCUGAAAUUGACUCCAAGUAACUUCCCAAAGGUGAAUGGAGGAAAGAAAUAGAAUCUGUUGUCGGCAAGUAAUAUAAGAAGGAAAGAUAGAGAGAGGGCAAGUGAUAUAAAGGUUUUUUGGUGGAUGAGAGUAUGAAUGAGUUGCAAACUCUUUUACAUGGUUUUUAAAUUUCUCCCGCAAAUGGUCACAUGUUGAUGCUCUUAAGUCAAAUACUUCAUAUGGGUUGGGAUUGGAGUCCACUGUUAUCAAUAAACAAUAUCAUGGCUCAUGUUCUUCAUCAUCUGAAUGGGUAAGAAGAUCAGAAUUUGAUCAAUUGAGAAACACUAUUAUGGAGGAGACUCAAAGAAUGGUAAAACAAAUGAUGGAAGAAAGGAUGCAACAACCACCAAUGCCAACCCCAAAUCAAGAGGAGUUAGAAACUGAUGAGUCAGAGAAUGAGGAGGAUCUUGGUGCUUUUCCAUGAAAACUUUGUCAAGCUUUGUUUCUAUAUUUAAUGUAAUAGACUAUGUUUAAUGUAAUAGUAAUCUACUAGACUAGUUUAAGUAGUUCAUGGUAUACUUUUUGUGAUGAUUCAGUGAUGAAUUUAGGUGGAUAUGUUAAGAUUGUGUGUUUUGUGAUGAUUCAAUGAUGAUUAUGGUUA